GAAAGCUAAGGAGUGAAGAAAGCAUUAGUCUGGAUAUACUUGAAAAGCAAUGGGACAAAAUACUACAAGAAAAGAACAAUAGUAACAAAACAUAAGAAAGAAAAGAUGAUUUAAAUCUCAUGUACUGGUAUAGAACUUCUCUAUUUAGAGAGGAAUUGACUACCUAGGCAAAUUUACAACAAAUUUAAGUUCAGCUGAGCACUGCUGAACUUAAUGAAUUUCCUCCCAAGUUUCCUUCCUUCCUUCCUUCCUUCCUUCCUUCCUUCCUUCCUUCCUUCCUUCCUUCCUUCCUUGUGCCUAUUGGGGAAUAGAAUUUGAAAGCUGCAAAAGAGUACUCACAAUUAGUGAGUACUCGAACUUGAACUAUAGAUUGGAUUCAUGCAUCACUCUAAACUGAGAUCCACUCUAAGAUAAGUUUCCUUAAUCAUUUAUUAAAUGUUGAGUUCACUAGUUAUACUAAACUAAAAACAAAAUGCAUUGUGGCUUAGUAUGAUGUAUACUAAGAGUUGCAAAAAUCUGAACAAACAUUGGAUAGCAGCAACGAAGUAUAGAAAAAAAACUAGAUAUUUACAGAUUUUUUACUUAUUUAUUUUUAUUAGUCAUAUUUCUAUGCCGCCCACUCUCCAAGGACUCUGGGCUGCUUGCACCAAAGACAGUACACUAAAUAGCAUAUUGCCCCCAACAAUCUGGGUCCUCAUUUUACCCACCUCGGAAGGAUGGAAGGCUGAGUCAACCUUGAGCUGGUGAGAUUUGAUCCGCUGAUCUGCUGAACUAGCAGUCAGCUGAAGUAGCUGCAGUACUGGACUCUAACCACUGCGCCACCUCAGCUCUUUAUCUGUCAGAUAAAUGUACAAUGUCUAUAAAUGUAGAUUUAUCUCCCAGAUAAAUGUACUUUGAUAUUACCGCUUGAAAUCUAUGUAGUAAAUCUUAUAUACACUUUAAACAAGAAUGUAAAAGUCAGGGUUUUUGUAUUCAAUGUAUUUCUACUGUAGAAUCCACAAUAAUAUUCAUUAUAAGCUUUACAGGAAGAAGUCAUGUACAGUGAAUGAAAAUCCUUUUUAAAGAUAUAAAACUUCCAUUUUGUACAACACAGAAGCCAUUCCCUUUCAAGUGCAGCCUUAAAAGAAAUUAAAUGGAUUUGUCCUUGCCAAACAGGAAAUCAAAGCACGGUAAAGGAAAGACUGUUGGCAGACUAGAAAGAGAAAGCAAAUAACUGAAAAUAAUGUAUCUUGGCUGUAAAAAUAUGUUGUGUACUUGCAAAGCUCUGUUUAAAAUGGAUUUUUUUUCCUGUCAAAAAGAAUGUCAGGAUUAUUUAAAUAUCAUAGCUCUACUUGUUACCAUUGUUUAUUAUUAAGUAACUUGACUCACAAACAUAAAAGAUUUUUAAUAGGACCUUUGCUACGCAAGCAGCAAUAACCUUACCUUUCCUGCCCUCUUGCUUCUUAGAGCAACAGCUGAAGAGAUUUCAAUUUCAGUGUGAACAAGAAAGGUGUGGAAUGCCUAUUUAUAUACCUGGGUGCACCUGAUCCCACCCACAAGGCCAGGGGAGGAGUGACUGGGAGAGGAAGGCGAGGGCAGGCCCAGCCAGUGGUGGGAUCACCCAACAGCAAAGGGCCCGAAGAGCCGCCUGCAGCUCUGGAGCCACAGGUUCAAGGGUGAAAUCCAGCAGGUUCUGACAAGUUCUGGAGAACCGGUAGUGGAAAGUUUGAGCAGUUCGGAGAACCAGUAGCGGAAAUUUUGAGUAAUUUAGAGAACCAGCAAAUACCACCUCUGGCUGGCCUCAAAGUGGGGAGGGAAUGGGGAUUUUGCAGUAUCCUUCCCCUGCCAUGCCCACCAAGCCACACCUCGCCCAUGAAGCCAUGCCCACAGAACCGGUAGUAAAAAAAAAUUGGACUGCACCACUGCACAAGUUGCUGACACCUGCUCUAGGACAAUCUCAACAACUCAAAGAUGUAUGAACUUCAAUUCUUACAAUUGUUCAGCCAGCUAUUGUUCUACUGCUGCUGGGAGGUUUGUUGAGAAAAUGAUCAGCUUAUAGCUCCAAAAGAAAUUGAUUAUUUUAGCCCUUUUCAAUUUGGACUAGGCCAUGUCAUAGCCCUGAGACAGUAUUUAAUUCAUUUGAUAUCUGCUAGGCUCUGUAUGACUGUAGUACAUCCAUUCCUACACUCCUUAAUUUUUUAGCAAUACCUUCAUGACCUCCUGAACUGGCUCAGGGGUUUGGAAAUGGAAGACUUUUGUGAUUCUUUUCUUUUUUCCUGUCCAGUUCCAAGUGUUCUUUGUAAGUGUGAGAGAUUGACCCCCCACUUUGUGGGGUGCUUCUUUACUCUUUCCUUACUUCUGUUGUAUAUGAUGAAGCUACUAUCAUCUGUCAAUAUCACCCAUUCCUGUAUUUUUGUCCUGGACUGAUCAAAUUAUGCUAUUAAGUUUCCCACUCCCUACAUUUCCUGGAGCUUGUGUGAGUUUGGAUGGGAGACAAGAGGCAAUACCAUAACUUGAUCUAUCUCUUUUGCUAUAAGGUGGUUUGAUGAAUGGCUCUUGUUGAUAAAAUAUAAAAAAAGGAAAGGAAAGGUAAAUUGUCAUCCAGUUUGAUAUAAAAAGCAGCCCCUCAGUUAAACUGUGUUAAAUUGUUUCACAACAUGCUAAAUUCUGCUGAAUUUAUACAUGGUGUACUGAACACAAUAUUCUUAAUUGACACAGCACAACCAAUCAGCUUUCUACCCAACCAACCAAGUUUGUGAUUUUAUUUAUUUGUAUCUCACCUUUAUUAUUUUUUAUAAGUAACUCAAGGCAGCAACCAUAUCCAACAAAUCUUCCUCUUUUUAUUUUCUCCACAACAAUACUGUGAAGUGGGUUGGGCUGAGAGAAAUCCAGCUGUCUGUACAGGAUUUAAAAGUAUGGUAUCUUGAUUUAUAGCCUGGUGCCUUAACUACUAGACAAUUGGCUCUCAUAUUCAAAUAUAUACAGUGGAAUAGAAGAAAUAAAGUGUUCUAUAUAUGUACAUCACUAGACCAUUUUGGAAUUUAUUUUGCAUAUUUAUAUAGAUUUUAAACUAUAUAGACCUAUAUAGAUUUUAAACUGUUAAAAUAAGUUCCUGUUUAUUGGAUAGCUAUGUCACUUUUCAGGAAAAAAAUUGGUGAGUUAUUAGAGAUGUGGCAUUCAAAAUGCAGCAUUAAUUCAUAUGGUAUAACUAUAUUUAGUUGUUCCCUUUUCAACAGAAUCCAGUUCAUCUAAUAUGUUUUAUUCUGGAAGAAUAAAUAGUUUUGUAGAUGCUCAUGCUGUUUUGAAUGCCAAUUGUUUGGAAUUAACAGCAGAACAAUAGAAUAGAUAUUCAUAAUAAAUGAAUGAUGGUUAAAUAUUAAUAAAAUCAAGAUUGCUUA